rnacentral:lncRNA from 1 species
AAGUUUAUCCUGGUUUGCUUGAAACUCAAAGGUACUCCAGUCCACUCGGCCAAGGUGAUUUCGCCUUUAACAAGGACUUAAUCCACUAAUCUUGAAAGAUUACACAAAAAAACAUCUAAGAAGAUAAAGAUCUCUUAGCCCUCUCAAGUUUACAGACUUCACAAGUCACUUGAGGAGAUAUUCAACAACUAUUUGAAAGAUACAGUGAAGUGUUUAGUACUUCUAGGUAAG